UGAGGUGCGUAUCCAUAGUAUAUGUAUUACCUACAUUUAAUUGUACGCUAUUUUUAGAAUAUUUUCGCCGCUUUACCUCGCCAUCAGACAGCUCUUUCCAACAUGGAACUGAAGCCGUUGUAUCCAUCUGUGCUUUCACCAAGGCCACCGGACUCUAUUG